UUUUCUUCAGUGCUUAGCCACGGUGAAAGUGCCCCUUUCAGACAGUCUCUUGCAGGCCCUUUCAAAGAAAGGACCAUGAGUGCUGCCCUCCUCCUUGUAUGGCUGGCAGCUAUCAUGCCAGAGCUAGUAACUGAGCAGUCAGGCUUCUCAACUUGGGCCUUGAAAGCUGUGAUACCAGCCGUCACCUUGGUUCUGGAUGGUAGUGACCCCACAGCGCAGCUUGCAGCCUGCCUUGCCAUGGUCCAAGCAGGGCACGAGGGAGGUGGCAAGAAACCAAGGGG
rnacentral:lncRNA from 1 species